GAUCCUGGCUCAGGAUGAACGCUGGCGGCGUGCUUAACACAUGCAAGUCGAACGAUUGAAGCUGGAGCUUGCUCCGGCCGAUUUAGUGGCGGACGGGUGAGUAACGCGUGGGUAACCUGCCUCAUACAGGGGGAUAGCAGUUGGAAACGACUGGUAAAACCGCAUAAGCGCACGGUGUCGCAUGACACAGUGUGAAAACACUCCGGUGGUAUGAGAUGGAUCCGCGUCUGAUUAGG
rnacentral:rRNA from 1 species